UGGUGCAGUCAAGAUGUUUAUGAAAGCAAUGGAAAUAUAUCUGUCUCCAUAUAUAAACUCAAAAAUGUAGGUGUGGUGCAGUCAAGAAAUUUAUGAAAGCGAUAAAUUUAUUAUAUAUAA